UACAGAGGUCUCAAGCGUUGGUCGGAUUCAUUGGGCGUAAAGGGGGCGUAGGCGGAGUGGUAAGUCGGGUGUGAAAUCUCGGAGCUUAACUCCGAAACUGCAUUCGAUAAUGCCGUGCUUGAGGACUGGAGAGGAGACUGGAAUUUACGGUGUAGCGGUGAAAUGCGUAGAUAUCGUAAGGAAGACCAGUGGCGAAGGCGGGUCUCUGGACAGUUCCUGACGCUGAGAAGCGAAAGCGUGGGGAGCGAACAGG
rnacentral:rRNA from 1 species